CCCUAACAACACACAACAUUCCAGGAAUGUACUACCAAAGUUCUAUCAAUAUUUGAAUGUCCUGGACAUUUAGGGAACAUUCGGUGAACAUCUGUUUAAAUUAUUCCUGGAAUGUUACCAUAAGACAUUCUGUGAACAUACUACCAAUGUUCCUAUAUUUUAAGUUGCGAAAUAAUACAUACGUGUAAGAGAUACAACAUUACUUAUAACAUACCAGACAAACUAAGUGACAUUUUAGGCCUACAGUGCAAUAAUAUGUCAAAUUUAAAGAGUUUCCCAAGAUUAUAAACAUACAAAUGUAAUAAAAAUUAUUGUUCGCGAAUAUUCAAUUUGGAAUGCGAUUUUGUUAAUAAAAAAAAUACUUAUAACUUAUGCAAAACCCAAGAGAGGCAUUUAUAUUUAUUUCUUUUGCGUUCAUUUUCAAAUUCGCCGUGCAUAUAUUUUUGUGCAUGGCGCUUGAGAGGGCAUCACGUGACUAAAAACGACCAACCAACGACCUCGCUUCGGCCAUCUUGGCAUCUUCAUCUUGGCGACCUUGCCUUGCCGUGGAUUGUUUUUUGUUGUUUGUAUUAUUUGUGCUUUUUAAGAAUAUUUUUUUAAUUCGGAUACUUUUAUAAUAGCUUUAAUAGUAUUAUUAACAUAGUGCAUAAAAUGGUGUCCUGUUUUUAACGCAGUUGGAGUAGCAGAAACAAAUGUAGAUAAAAAAAUCUGCAGGAAUAACGUUUCAAUUAUGACAGAAGCUCAAAACAAAUGACUGUGAAUGAAAAGCCCUAUUAAAAGCUUUCCAGAAGAUCCUGCGAAGAAGACAUGAAGUAUAGAUCAGAUUUGUUAAUAGAGGAGUAUGUUCAAAACACUUUUUAGAAAAAGAUAUUGACAGAACUUCACUUUCAUCUGUUCGUUUGAGAGACUGUGCUGUUCCAAUAGCUUAUGUCACACAGGUAUAUGCAUAACCUAAUUAAUAAUACAGUCCGUACAAUAUAGAUACUGUUGUAAUUCAUUAUCUACAUCGGAGAUCUAAGUUGACAUUGUUGCCCAACUACAAAAAAUUUUUGAAUUCAUUUUAAGUCAAAUAUAUCACAUAAUUAUUGCGAAGUAGAUUAUACAACAAAACAGAUUAAUAUUCAAUGUAAAUAAAUAAAAACAUCAGAAAUCGAAAACAAGAAUUAAGGUAUAAUCUUAUGUUACAGUUAUUAAGGUACCAAGGGUAUUAUAGGGAUAUACAUUGACCGAAAGCGUUAUUAUUAUAAUACCUGUGGUGCCUUGCAACGUUUAAUGCCCGACUAAAUUAUUCUUUAUAUGCGAAAAAUUUGAAUGAAUUUUGAAUUGAUUAGUUUUUAAAUAAGUACAUUUACCAGUAACAGUAGUAACGUAAUUGUGGUAACCAUAGUUUUACUUAGGUUGAUAUUUGUCAACUUGACAGUAUCUAAGUCGUUAUUUAAAUUUAAUGCCCAAGGGCGUUAUAUCGUACUUAACAGACUUCGAAAUGUCAUUAUUUGUCAAAUAAUGUACCAGUAGGACAUUAAAGUAAAUAAUAAAAACAAUAAAUAUAAUGAAUACUAAAUACUUAUUUGUUUGUGAAAAAUCUAUUUCUUUGUGGCUUUUUUGUAAUUAAUUAUUCUAAUGGGGAAAUAAGCCACAAUUUACUUGAAAAAAUAAUUUUAUUAAGGUUUCUACUUCCACAUCGGAUGUCGUUGUCAAAAUACAAAAUGUUCAUUAUUAUUAUUUUAUUUAUUAAAUAUUAUUUAUUAUUUAUUUAAAUAUUAUUUAAUAUUUAUUUUUUUAUUAUUAUUAUUUAUGCAUAUUAUUACCUGUAAAUAAUAUUUCUUCUGAUUGUUAAUUGUAAAGGAUAGAAAAAUUACCUUUUAUUUUAUUUUCUUUUAGAAUCAGCUGAGAGAAGUGGUCUACAAAAAACCAGAAAGGAAACGGAAUAUGUGGCUACGAAAAGCAAAAGAAAGGUUUACAAAGCAAAUGUGACACAUUUUUUUAUAAUAUUUAGGAAUGUCAGCAAAUUACAUUAAAAAAUGUAUGUAAAGAUUUUUUGCAAUAAAAAUGUUUAUAUUUA